CGACUUGGAGGUUGUGCCCUUGAGGCGUGGCUUCCGGAGCUAACGCGUUAAGUCGACCGCCUGGGGAGUACGGCCGCAAGGUUAAAACUCAAAUGAAUUGACGGGGGCCCGCACAAGCGGUGGAGCAUGUGGUUUAAUUCGAUGCAACGCGAAGAACCUUACCUGGUCUUGACAUCCACAGAACUUUCCAGAGAUGGAUUGGUGCCUUCGGGAACUGUGAGACAGGUGCUGCAUGGCUGUCGUCAGCUCGUGUUGUGAAAUGUUGGGUUAAGUCCCGCAACGAGCGCAACCCUUAUCCUUUGUUGCCAGCGGUUAGGCCGGGAACUCAAAGGAGACUGCCAGUGAUAAACUGGAGGAAGGUGGGGAUGACGUCAAGUCAUCAUGGCCCUUACGACCAGGGCUACACACGUGCUACAAUGGCGCAUACAAAGAGAAGCAAUCUCGCGAGAGCCAGCGGACCUCAUAAAGUGCGUCGUAGUCCGGAUUGGAGUCUGCAACUCGACUCCAUGAAGUCGGAAUCGCUAGUAAUCGUGAAUCAGAAUGUCACGGUGAAUACGUUCCCGGGCCUUGUACACACCGCCCGUCACACCAUGGGAGUGGGUUGCAAAAGAAGUAGGUAGCUUAACCUUCGGGAGGGCGCUUACCACUUUGUGAUUCAUGACUGGGGUGAAGUCGUAACAAGGUACC
rnacentral:rRNA from 1 species